CGUCGAGAGGACGAAGCUGAGGUGGACAUUCACAAUCAAAGGCUUUCAGGCCGUGUGGUUUUGCACUGCUAUGCGCAGCCUUCUGUUCUACGCUUUCUCAGAACACGACUUAUUUGAACCGGAAUCACACGAUAAGCCUGCUGCACGGAUGGGAAAUUCCGGAUGAUACAAGGCGUUGAGUCCUAAAUCACCGAUCGUGGUGGUUUCUCUCGGAUUGAGAGAGAAUCUGUGUGGUACGGGUUGCUGCACAGAGGGGCAUCUGGUAAAAUUGGAUUUUGUACGUGAGCCAGAAAAUAAAAUGGCAAGGCAGGAGGCAGAGAAGCUUACCGAGGCAGCGUCUGGAGGGGAGGAGGAUGAAGGUGACGGAUCUGGGAAAGAAAAUCGACGGCGACGCAGUGAGGGCGAGGACGCUCUGCGACGACGGGCUUGAGGGGCUGGCGGAGAUCCUAGACGGAUUUGGGCGUGGGAUUUGGUGGAGGAACCGAAGGGUUGAAACGGUGGCCAAUCGGCUUGGUGGUGUAGGUCACCGUGCGACAGCCGUGCUUGGGUCUUCAGCGCAAGAGAGAGAGAAAUCGUAAGAGGGAGAGAGAGAAAAACAGAGGAGAGACAUACGAACUGACCGGCGAGAGGCGGCGCGGCCAAGGCUGGAAUGGCGUGGCGGCGGACAAAAUCACAGAGAGAAAAAAAAAACAAAGAAGGUUAGAGAGAGGAGGGAGAGCGCGAGCGAGGGAGAGAGAUUGAGAGGCAGUGUAGCUUACCGGUGAUGGGGCGUUGCGAUAGUCGUGCACGGCGCGGUGGAGCAAAAGAAAACAAAAGGGCAAACGCCGACGGGGAGAGAGGA